rnacentral:rRNA from 1 species
AAAUACUACCUGAUGACCGAUAGAGGAGCAGUACCGUGAGGGAAAGGUGAAAAGGACCCCGGGAGGGGAGUGAAAUAGAACCUGAAACCUUGUGCUUACAAGCACCGAGAGCCCGUCAAAGGGUGAUCGGGUACCUUUUGUAGAAUGGUCCGGCGAGUGAAUGUGACUGGCAAGGUUAAGCUCUAAAGGAGUGAAGCCGCAGGGAAACCGAGUCUUAACAGGGCGAUAGAGUCAGUUAUAUUCGACCCGAAACCGGGUGACCUAUCCAUGUCCAGGUUGAAGUGGGGGUAAAACCCCAUGGAGGACCGAACCAACCCCUGUUGAAAAAGUGGCGGAUGAGGUGUGGAUAGCGGAGAAAUUCCAAUCGAACCCGGAGAUAGCUGGUUCUCCCCGAAAUAGCUUUAGGGCUAGCCUCACGUGAUGAGUUGUGGAGGUAGAGCACUGAUUGGGCUAGGGGCCUUACCAGGUUACCAAACCCGUUCAAACUCCGAAUGCCAUAACUUUAGCGUGGGAGUCAGACUGCGAGUGAUAAGAUCCGUAGUCGAAAGGGAAACAGCCCAGACCAUCAGCUAAGGUCCCCAAGUACGGGCUAAGUGGAAAAGGAUGUGGAGUUGCACAGACAACCAGGAUGUUGGCUUAGAAGCAGCCAUUCAUUUAAAGAGUGCGUAAUAGCUCACUGGUCAAGUGAUUCUGCGCCGAAAAUGUACCGGGGCUCAAGCCCGUCACCGAAGCUAUGGAUUACCGCUAAUUUCACCGAGAGUUUGCUUGCGACACCGAGGGUGCGCAGCAGCUGAGGUGUCGCUAAAUGAGUUUAGUGAAAACCCGGAUCAACAAACUCUGGGUGAAAUUAGCGGUAGUGGUAGGGGAGCGUUGUGUUCAGCGUAGAAGCCGUACCGUAAGGAGCGGUGGAGCGGACACAAGUGAGAAUGCAGGAAUAAGUAGCGAAAAGACAGGUGAGAAUCCUGUCCGCCGCAAGCCUAAGGUUUCCUGAGGAAGGUUCGUCCACUCAGGGUAAGCCGGGACCUAAGCCGAGGCCGAAAGGCGUAGGCGAUGGAUAACGGGUUAAAAUUCCCGUGCCACCGACGUUCGUUUGAGCGAAGAGGGGACACAGGAGGGUAGGUUGAGCCGGUGAUUGGUAGAGCCGGUCUAAGCGAGCAGGGUGUCUGGCAGGCAAAUCCGCCAGGCAACAGCCCGAGACGCGAAUGGGAGCGACACUACGGUGAAGCGAAGCAACUGACCCCAAACUGUCGAGAAAAGCCUCUAGUGAGAACGUUGGUGUCCGUACCGCAAACCGACACAGGUAGGCGAGGAGAGAAUCCUAAGGCGCGCGAGAGAACCCUUGUUAAGGAACUCGGCAAAAUGACCCCGUAACUUAGGGAUAAGGGGUGCCGCCGCGAGGCGGUUGCAGAGAAACGGCCCAAGCGACUGUUUACCAAAAACACAGGUCCCUGCUAAGUCGUAAGACGACGUAUAGGGGCUGACGCCUGCCCAGUGCCGGAAGGUUAAGGGGAGGAGUUAGGCGUAAGCCAAAGCUUCGAACUUAAGCCCCGGUAAACGGCGGCCGUAACUAUAACGGUCCUAAGGUAGCGAAAUUCCUUGUCGGGUAAGUUCCGACCUGCACGAAAGGCGUAACGAUUUGGGCACUGUCUCAACCAUGGACCCGGUGAAAUUGCACUAGUCGUGAAGAUGCGACUUACCCGCAGAAGGACGGAAAGACCCCGUGAACCUUUACUGCAGCUUGACAUUGGCUGCCGGUGCGUCGUGUAGAGGAUAGGUGGGAGACUAUGAACCAGGGACGCCAGUUUCUGGGGAGUCACCCUUGGAAUACCACCCUCGACGCUCUGGCAUCCUAACCCGUGGCCGUAAUCCGGCAUGGGGACCGUGUCAGGUGGGUAGUUUGACUGGGGCGGUCGCCUCCUAAAAUGUAACGGAGGCGCACGUAAGGUCUGCUCAAGAUGGUCGGUAACCACCUUUUUGAGUGCAAGAGCAUAAGCAGGCUUGACUGCGAGACGUACAUGUCGAGCAGAUGGGAAACCAGGUUCUAGUGAUCCGGCGGCUCAGAGUGGAAUGGCCGUCGCUCAACGGAUAAAAGGUACUCCGGGGAUAACAGGCUGAUCUUCCCCAAGAGUCCACAUCGACGGGAAGGUUUGGCACCUCGAUGUCGGCUCAUCGCAUCCUGGGGCUGAAGUAGGUCCCAA